rnacentral:rRNA from 1 species
UAGGGAAUCUUCGGCAAUGGACGAAAGUCUGACCGAGCAACGCCGCGUGAGUGAAGAAGGUUUUCGGAUCGUAAAACUCUGUUGUUAGAGAAGAACAAGGACGUUAGUAACUGAACGUCCCCUGACGGUAUCUAACCAGAAAGCCACGGCUAACUACGUGCCAGCAGCCGCGGUAAUACGUAGGUGGCAAGCGUUGUCCGGAUUUAUUGGGCGUAAAGCGAGCGCAGGCGGUUUCUUAAGUCUGAUGUGAAAGCCCCCGGCUCAACCGGGGAGGGUCAUUGGAAACUGGGAGACUUGAGUGCAGAAGAGGAGAGUGGAAUUCCAUGUGUAGCGGUGAAAUGCGUAGAUAUAUGGAGGAACACCAGUGGCGAAGGCGGCUCUCUGGUCUGUAACUUACGCUGAGGCUCGAAAGCGUGGGGAGCAAACAGG